rnacentral:rRNA from 1 species
GACAGAGGGUGCAAACGUUGCUCGGAAUCACUGGGCGUAAAGGGCGUGUAGGCGGGCAGGUAAGUCGGGCGUGAAAUCCCUGAGCUCAACUCAGGAACUGCACUCGAAACUACUUUUCUUGAGUGCCGGAGAGGAAAGCGGAAUACCUGGUGUAGAGGUGAAAUUCGUAGAUAUCAGGUGGAACACCAGUGGCGAAGGCGGCUUUCUGGACGGUAACUGACGCUGAGACGCGAAAGCGUGGGGAGCAAACAGG